CAUCGGGAGUGCCAGCGUCUCCCAUUGGAAACGCUCGGUGGUCGGCACACUAGUAAGCGUAUUCUAGGCACUAUAACGCUAGUAACCUGCCUCUUUCCUAUCUGGCAACGCUGGUAACAUGCCUCUUUCCUAUCUGGCAACGCUGCUAACCAUUGUUCGGCUGCGCUGUACUGUCGAUGUAGGCUGGUCGUAAUUUUUCCGUUGUCGUGCUCUCUCCGAACAAUAAUAGUAACCAUUGCUUGGCUUCGCUGUACUGCCGAUGUAAUCUGGUCGUAAUUUUUCUAUUUUCGUGCUCUCUCCGUAAAUUAUUACGUGCCGCCGAGCGAAAUACCCCCACGUGCGUUGCCUCCAACACCCUUCAAGCCAAGUGACAUGUCGGCCGACUCCUCUCAAGAGAACCCGAUCCAAGUUGUGGCGCAACAGAUGCUCGAUGAAAACGCCCGAUUUAUAAAAGCUAUUAUUCGCUGUCAAAACGAAGGGGACGCUUUGAAGUGUUCGAGGUAUAAAGCGCUUUUCUACAGAAAUUUAGUCGUCUUGGCAAAUUUAGGAAGAUCAUGUAAAAGGACAAUUCCACCAGAGAAAUAUCCUGCGUAACCUACUCUCCCAGACAUCCCUGGACGUCGCUGGUCUUGUAGGGCAGGCAUCUCUUGU
rnacentral:lncRNA from 1 species